AUUCAGCCGACAAGUCCAAAAAUGAGACGAAACGCGCGUCAAACUGGAU
rnacentral:hammerhead_ribozyme from 1 species